GACGAACGCUGGCGGCGUGCUUAACACAUGCAAGUCGAACGGAAAGGCCCUGCUUUUGUGGGGUGCUCGAGUGGCAAACGGGUGAGUAACACGUGAGUAACCUGCCCUUGACUUUGGGAUAACUUCAGGAAACUGGGGCUAACACCGGAUAGGAGCUCCUGCUGCAUGGUGGGGGUUGGAAAGUUUCGGCGGUUGGGGAUGGACUCGCGGCUUAUCAGCUUGUUGGUGGGGUAGUGGCUUACCAAGGCUUUGACGGGUAGCCGGCCUGAGAGGGUGACCGGCCACAUUGGGACUGAGAUACGGCCCAGACUCCUACGGGAGGCAGCAGUGGGGAAUAUUGCACAAUGGGCGGAAGCCUGAUGCAGCAACGCCGCGUGCGGGAUGACGGCCUUCGGGUUGUAAACCGCUUUCGCCUGUGACGAAGCGUGAGUGACGGUAAUGGGUAAAGAAGCACCGGCUAACUACGUG
rnacentral:rRNA from 1 species